rnacentral:RNase_P_RNA from 1 species
CAAGUUGGCUGGGUGAUCGCGGUCGAACGUUCGCAAGAGCGCCCGGCUGAGGAAAGUCCGCACUCCACAGGGCACGGCGCCGGCUAACAGCCGGGCGGGGCAACCCGACGGCAAGUGCAACAGAGAGGCAUAUUGCCAGCCAAACGGAAGACCGUUUGGCCGGUGAGGGUGAAACGGUGGUGUAAGAGACCACCGGCGGCGGCCGCAAUGCCGCCGGCCAGGCAAACCCCGCCGGGAGCAAGACCAAGCAGGGCGAAGAGUCUCGUGGCAAGCCACGAGGCCCACGGCGCGGCCCGCGCCGUCCGACGUCCGGGUAGGUUGCACGAGGGCAUUGGCAACAAUGCUCCCAGAUAGAUGAUCACCAGCGCCCACGUCCGCGUGAGCGCCGACAGAAUGCGGCUUAUAGGCUGACUUGGAAA